rnacentral:rRNA from 1 species
AACCCAAAGGACUUGACGGUGUUCCACCCAACUAGAGGAGCCUGUUCUGUAAUGAUGAUCCACGAUAAACCUAACCAUUUUUUGCUACUCAGCCUGUAUACCUCCGUCGUAAGCCUACCAUUUGAGUGAGAAAAAGUAGGCACAAGGACUUAGAGCCAAUACGUCAGGUCAAGGUGCAGCUUAUAAAAUGGAAGAAAUGGGCUACAAUUUCUAAUUUAGAACACACGAAUUACUGUAUGAAACAAAGUCAUGAAGGUGGAUUUAGCAGUAAGUCGGGAAUAGAGAGCCCCACUUAACCUGGCCAUGGAACGUGUACAAACCGCCCGUCACCCUCUUCGAUAG